GGCGAGCAUCCGGGGACUUGGCCCGGGGGCGCAAUGCUGUGUUCCACGGUGCUCGCCGUGGGGUGGCAGCUGGGAGACCGAGAGGAAGGGGUUCUCUGGGCCCUAGUGCGGAGAGGGGGGGGAAGCGGGGCAGAUUCCCCGCCCCCUCCGCACCCUGCCGGGCUGCCCCGGGAGGUGCUGGGCCUGGGUGGGGCUUCGAUGAAAUCUCUUCAAGCUUCCGCCGUGCGCCUCGCCUCGCGCAGCUCCCACCCCUUUCUGGGAACAAAAAUGUCAACUGCUGUAGAGGACUCCGCGUUUACGGAGGGUCGGGGCUUGGGGAGACGUCGAGGCUGUCCACCAGGAUGAGGGCUCAACACCCAGGGUCGAACCCAACACAGGACUUGAACUCAUAACCUUGAGAUGAAGACAACUGACAUCAAAAGUCGGAUACUUAACUGAGUCACCGAGGCACCCCUGAAAUUUUUAUAACAUUUUAUUUCUUUAAGUGAUUUUAUUCUGUGAUUUCUAACAAAAUCUAAGAUUGUCCUAAAUUUCACAGUUGAAUAUUACUUGGUAUCUCUUGCAAUUAAAGAGGUCUCAAAAACAA